AAGCUAUUAAUUUCAAUUUGA
rnacentral:tRNA from 1 species